rnacentral:lncRNA from 1 species
GUCUCAAAGAGAUUGCCAUUUAAAUUUCAAUAAAACUUUUGGGAAACACUGUCGUGUGAAGACCUGUCUUAUAUCUGUUUGCUUUAACUAAGUUAGUUUCUGAUCAUUAACACAGUUCCUAAAUAUAUAAGAGGUUUAAGGCUAUCCUUUGAUUUUUGCUAGCCCAUGCAAACUUGAUUUUUGUUACUGUACACUAUGAAUUUUAAAUUGUACUUUAAAAGUGAAACUUAGUUAAAUAUAAAGCUUAGGAGAGAACUUUGCCAAGUUGGUAUUCUCCAAACUAAAAUUAUCUGUAGCAGUUGUCUUUGACCCUGUCUCUACAGAAAAUUCAAAUAAAUAAAUAAAAAGUGCUCCCCAGAUUCAAUUCCUGAUCAGGGGAAAAAAAAAGAACAAAGUGGGUUGGUAUUUAUUCAUGUUUUUUGAUGUCUUAUAGCUGGUAUAUACAAUUUCGUGUUUCUCUUCACACUAGAAUAAGAAUUUAAAUGUAUUUUUUAAUAUUUUUAUUUUCUAGGUGUAGAUAGACACAAAACAAUGCCUUUAUUUUUAUGUGGUGCUGAAGAUCGAACCUGGGUCCUGCCUGUGCUAGGUGAGCACUCCACCACUGAGCCACAAUCCCAGCCCUUAAAUGUAUUUUAGAAAGUAAUAAAAAAUAUAGAUGGAAACAUUUUCCACUUUUUCCAGAGAAAGUUAAAAGCUUUGCAUUCAUGUUUCAGAUAUAAUAUUUUAUUGUUACUUGUGAAGAGCCCUACCUUUAUUGAGAUUCAGCUUUGCCCCUCUACUUACUCCAUGUUAAAAUGACUCCAAAAUAGGCUACCCUUGAGCUCAUUUGAAGUUGGGUUUAAAAGAGUGACUUUUUGUUAUAAAGAUUACUAUGAUCUCAAACAGGGGAUAAAGUAUGUAACUAAUAAAUGUUUAAGAUUAUAAAAAUCAUUUUUCUUGAUUCACAGCUAUUACACAAAUUGAAUAUAUUUUUAUUCUUGUUAAUUUUGUUUUGUACUUUCCUGGUAAACAAGACAACUAUUGCCUGCUAGUGCCUUGAAGAAAGAAGUCCAAUGUCUUAUAUAGCAACCUAAAUUAAUUUAAGAUAAUAAUCCAUCAGGCAGAUGGGAUGUAAGGCCAACUUGCAAUGCUAAUACUGACCCCAGUUAAAUGGAAAGGGCAAGUAACUGUGAAACCCAGUGCUCCUACUUUAUGACUGGUGAAACUGGCUUGCUAGAUGUUUAAACCCAAAACUUGGAGACUAAAAAUUAAGAAAGUAAAAGGGCCAAGGGAGGGUGCAGAGCCAAUGUGUCACUCUUGCUCUUUCAGGUUGGCUUGAACCCAAGGACUGAAAGGGCUUCUCUAAGGGGUUUGCAGUUCUGGGUCACAUGACUUCCCAAUCAGGAGGAAAAAUAUAACUCUAGAGAAUAGGAAGGGAACCAGUGCGCAUUCUGCAAAAAGGAGGGUUAUUGGAAAAACACAUCCCUAAUGCUUCUAAUAGAAGCCUCAUGUGGUUGGAAAGACCUUGACCCAUCCUGGUGGAUGCAGAACUGGUGGGAGAAGCUUCUCCAAAGUUCUCAAGGGUGACCUCUAAGGAAAAUCAGCUGACUCUUAACAAUAGAUAAAAACAAGGUCAAUUCUGACCUACUUGGUCUUAAACACCUUGCAAGAGAGAAUAGCCUAAGUACAGUCAUAAGUGGACAUUUAAAAGGAAAAACAUUUUUUUUUUUAUUUUUAAAAAGAUAUUAAUAUAUUCUAAUGUGCAUUUUAAUAGUGUAUCCUGGUAUUAAGUAUAUGAUUAUAUGGUUUAUUGAAGUAAUACAGAGGAAAUAACAUAUUAUAUAAUAACAUCUGGUUCUUUUUAUUCUGAUUUGCAGUUUACAAUUUUCUAAAAACAUUCUAUAAGUAGGUACUAAUUUAUUUUCUAGGAUCAAUUUAUUUUUAGUAGUAGGUCACAGGCAAGUCACUUUCAAUUGUCAUAAUUGCCAACAAAAUCAUUUGAGAAAGAAAACAGGUUUAUAGUAUUAUUGGUGAAAGCAUAAAUUAGGUAAAUGCCAAAUAUAUUGAGAAAAAAUAAAUUAAUAUUAUUUUAUGAAUAUAAUCAUGCUUUGUUCAAAAAGACUAUAACUGUAAAUUUUCUUGUCAUGUUCAUUUCUACAUAUUGAUAAAAAUGAACUAUUAAAUAAAGAGAUAAAAAGAAAUUUGUUUAAUAGGUACUAUUUCUUCUUUUAGCAAAUAUUGCAUAUUUAGGAAAAAUAGAACAUGGUGGAUUAUUUAAAAGAAUUAAUUUCCCUUUUAUUAU